GCAGUUAAAGAGCUCUGCUCUGACACUCAGCUCGUGAUAAGAAAGUCUCCGCGGGGUGGCGGGGUGUAUACACGCAGUCACGAGAAGGUUACAUCCUAUCAGACAGCAUUCACUGUUUGCAGCCCACGUUUCCCAUGUUCCUAAAUCACAUGCGUUACAGGCAUGAUUGGAUUUACUGAUCGCUGCUGAGAGAGGCAAUUUUAUUUUCCUCUUUCAUUAACAAUUAGCUUUCAACAAUUGUGACCUUCAUCCUGUAUUAUCUCUUAACGUGAAUUCAUAGUAAUUUAACUGCUAUGUACUCUGAAAUGCGAUGUAGAUAGGCACAUGCAUAAUACCUUGUUUACCUCAAUUCUUAUUGUUUGUAUUUUCAUAUGUAAGGGGACUGUUGGCCCCUUACUCACACCCAGUGAGUAUUUUGCUUGGUAAGCGCCCAGUCUCAAAUGAAGGGGAAGGGUUUUUGAGAAAUCAGAACCAUGAAACUGAGCCCCAGGAGCAAAGAGAGAGUCCAGUCUACAUGUCAGCCUGACUGCCAGGCCAAGGAGGGAGUGAGGAGGCUCGGGUGAGUCCCGUCCUCUGUCACAGCUUAAUUUCUUGGGUCAGACAGAGUGGGUCUGAACUAAGGAGACAUUUGCCUGAGCUGAACUGGGAGGAUUCAUGGCACCCAGAGACACAGCCCAGCAGCAGAGCCAUGCUGGGAGCAGGGCUGCAGGGGUCAGAGAAGCAGCCCAGAAGCUGGAGGCAAUGUGGCAGAGCAUGGAGCUGGGGCUGGUGCAGAGAGCAGGGAGAUCCUGGGCAAAGGCCCAGCGCAGGGGUACUCCACUAGCCAAGAGGCGUUGCAGACCAAAUAUCCUUCUAGCCCAGUAUCCUGUCUCCCAACAGUGGCCAAGGACAGGUGCCCCAGAGGGAAUGAACAGAACAGACAGUUGGUGACAGGAUUGAGUAGGUCCUAAGGCGUCCUGCUACACCUAGCCUCCAAAAGUGCAGUAGAGAGGUGGCCUAAGCUGCCGUGUGGGACGCAGCCAAUCAGAGCCCAGCAGGCUAGUAUAAGAUGAGCUGCAAGGCAUGAGUGAAGACAGUUCCUUGCUAGAAUUGAAGGAGCGUGGAUGGUGUUCCAGGCUGGCUACUGGAAUGCCACAAGGACAAGUCCCUGAGGGGGCUGAGUGAGAGAAGACCCACCACACACAGCUAGAGAGUGCACAGGAAGAUGCACUUGGCCAGUCGGUGCUCGUGUGAGGGCUGAGCAGGCAUCCGCUCCUAAGCAGAUGACAAGGACUCCUCGUGGUGAAGAGAUGACCCACAGAGGAGAGUAAUUCACCUGAACAGAUGCCCCGAUGACAAGCAGCAUAGUCUGUUGCUUUAGAGAAUGGGACCAGGAGGUAUGUGACCUGCAUUAACUCGUUCGACGUGGCGCUAGUGUAUUUGUAUUCAGUCACCCACGUGAUCCACGCUCCCUGAGAGUGAGUACGGGGAUUUACGGUGGAAUAUAACAGGCGAUCACAUCACUGACUGACUUCGCGUGCAGCACUGAGUAGUGACCUCAUCAUCCCCACUUUCUGGCUAACCUGACAUUACACAGGGACACUUAUUGUGGCAAACAAAUGAAAAUUGUUUUCAAUAAAAUUCAU